GGCCGCUUUCAGAAGCGAAACCGUGCCUGUACGCAGGGCUGGGACGUGGGGCAGCGCCCGGCCCCGCUGCAGGGGAGCUCUUCAACGCGUGUGCUCUGCCCACUGCCAACGGAGGCGUCCUCAGAAGUGGAGAUCCUGCCAGCAAGCGCAGGGUGAGAGCCAGCUCACUCAGGUUUGCUUCUCAGAACGCCCGUGAAAAGGCUGUGGAUGUGCGUGGAGAUGCAUACAUGUACAGUUAUCAUCUGAGUUUCUGUAACUGCUUUCUGCCCUCUUCCGUUUGUAUCUCCCCCCCGAGUUUGUCUACAGCUCUCUCCCCCAUGGCACUCUGCGGGGCCGGGGCGCAGUGAGCGAACGGCCGGGUGCUGCUCAGCUGCCUGCCGGGUGAAACCACAGCGCGUGGCAGCGUGCCUGCACCUGUGUGCCUGUGGGGACACGCGGCCCUCCUUGUCCUUCCACUGCAGCGCAGCGCUCACGGGAGCCAUCCCACCUCACCUCUGUCAGCUGCUGUCACUGUGGGCAGCGCCCAGAGCCCAUGGGGAUGUCUCUGAAAUCCAGCUUUGCCCCACAGCCCCGGGGGAUGGCUGACGGACUCAGGCGGAGGAGCCAAGAAUGCAAGUGAGUUUCUGCAGAGUUCUGGGCUUUUAAUAAACAGGAGAUACUCAUAA